rnacentral:hammerhead_ribozyme from 1 species
ACUUUACUGAAGAGUCCCACAAUAGGAUGAAACGGCCGUCCAGU